rnacentral:rRNA from 1 species
UACGUAGGGUGCGAGCGUUGCCCGGAUUUAUUGGGCGUAAAGGGCGCGUAGGCGGCCACGCACGUCCGUUGUGAAAUCGCCCGGCUCAACUGGGCGGGGUCAGCGGAUACGGUGUGGCUAGAGCAAGCUAGGGGGCAAUGGAAUUCCCGGUGUAGUGGUGGAAUGCGUGGAUAUCGGGAGGAACACCAGUGGCGAAGGCGGUUGCCUGGAGCUUUGCUGACGCUGAUGCGCGAAAGCGUGGGGAGCGUACAGG